GCGGAAGUGUCGUUACAUACAUACAGUGAGUUUCCUGUGGAUUAAAGCAGAAUGAAAUAGACGCUGGUGAAUUAAAUGGGAUUCGCUCAGAUAUAAAGUGUUAAACAUUUGAUUUAUUGUCGAAAUAUUGAACAUUGAUCAAUGCUGGCGGACUCAGUGGGCGGCGGUCGUUGUCGGGGAAGGAAGCGGUCAGCGGCAGUGGGCGAGCCAGACUCCAGUGGGCGUGGCCGCAGCAGCACACCUUCAACACAGAUCAGAAGUAAAAACGCUGAGGCUGAUGAAGAGGAGGAUCAGUCUGAGAAGAAGUUCAGAAAGUGUGAGAAAUCAGGAUGUCCAGCCACCUAUCCUGUGUGUUUCGCCAGUGCGUCUGACAGAUGUGCUAAAAACAGCUACACGUCCCGCUGGUAUCAUCUGUCGUGUGGUGAACACUUCUGUAAUGAAUGUUUUGACCACUACUACAGAAGUCAUAAAGACGGAUACGAGACCUUCUCCACAUGGAAGAGGGUUUGGACCAGUAAUGGCAAAAGUGAACCCAGUCUCAAAGCCUUCAUGGCUGACCAACAGCUGCCCUACUGGGUUCAGUGCACCAGAACAGACUGUGGAAAAUGGCGUCAGUUGAGUAAAGAGACAGGGCUGACGCUUGCGCUGGCAUCAUCGUACCGCUGUGGCAUGAAGCUCAACACCAUUAAAAUUGAAGGAUGUGGCGCGUGUUCUCAGCCGGAGGACGGGCGAGUGGCAGGUGUGACGGACAGCUGGUGGCAUUCCAUGUUGAUUCUGCCGCCGUUGUUUAAGGACAGUUUGGCCAGUCCCUUUCUCUCAGCGUAUUACCCCGACUGCGUGGGCAUGAGCCCCUCUGCAUCCCCCAACACCCAGCGGUGCGCCGCUCAACCUCACGUGUCGGGACUCUCUCCGUGUUUCCAGCCCUUCUACCAGCCCAACGAAUGUGGAAAAGCGCUGUGUGUCAGACCCGACAUGAUGGAGCUGGACGAGUUGUAUGAGUUCCCAGAAUUCUCCAGAGAUCCCACCAUGUAUCUGGCGUUGAGGAACCUGGUUCUGGCUGCCUGGCACAGAGAUUGCAAGGAGGUUUUGACAGCACAGAAGUGUGCUCCUCACGUGAUUGUUCGGGGGCUGGUGCGAGUCCGCUGCGUGCAGGAGCUGGACAGGGUUCUGUGCUUCAUGACCCGCAAAGGUUUGAUCAACACUGGAGCUCUGCAGGUGUCACGGCCUCUUCUGCCUCUCUCACAGCACAGCAAGGUGUUGGUGAUCGGUGCUGGGGCUGCGGGUCUCGCUGCAGCUCGACAACUACGAAACUUUGGCAUGCAGGUGGUGGUGUUAGAGGCCAGGGAGCGAAUCGGUGGAAGAGUUUGGGAUGACGUGUCAAUGGGCGUUCCCGUUGGGCGUGGAGCUCAGAUCCUAAAUGGCUGUGUGAAUAACCCCAUUGCUCUGAUGUGUGAACAGCUGGGCCUGAGGAUGCAUAAGUUAGGUGUGCGCUGUGAGUUGAUUCAGGAGGGAGGUCACAUGACUGAUUCAGCUGUGGACAAGCGAAUGGACUUUCACUUCAACGCUGUGCUGGACGCCGUGUCUGAGUGGAGAAAAGACCAAUCACAGUGUCAGGAUUUACCACUUGGCGAGAAAAUCCAAGAAGUGUACAAGACAUUCCUGCAGGAGUCUGGACUUCACUUCACUGAGCUGGAGGAAAAAGUUUUCCAUUUCCAUCUGAGCAACCUGGAAUACGCCUGUGGAAACACACUGGACCAGGUGUCAGCUCGCUCGUGGGAUCAUAACGAAUGUUUCGCUCAGUUUUCGGGUGAUCACACGCUUCUCCCUGGUGGAUACGAGUUAGUACUGCACAAGCUUGCUCAGGGACUCGAUAUACGGCUCAAAACUGCGGUUCAGUGUGUGGAAUAUUCUGGAGAGGGGGUGAAGCUGACCUGUACCAACGGCUCUCAAUGGACCGCACAGAAGGUUCUGGUGACCGUUCCAUUGGCUCUGCUGCAGAAGAACAUCAUUCAGUUUAACCCUGCCCUGCCCGAUAGGAAACUCAAAGCCAUUCACAGUCUGGGAGCUGGGGUCAUAGAGAAGAUUGCCCUACAGUUCUCCCAUCGCUUCUGGGACAGUAAGAUCCAGGGAGCUGAUUAUUUUGGUCAUGUUCCACCCUGUCCAGAGAGGAGAGGUCUGUUCAGCGUCUUCUAUGACUUGUGUCCGCAAGGUAAAGAGUGUGUGCUGAUGUCAGUGAUCACAGGAGAAGCUCUUGCGCUGGUCAGAGAUCUUCAGGACUCUCAAGUUGUUGAUCUGUGCAUGGACGUCCUUAAAAAACUCUUUCAGGAAGAGGUGAAUGUUCCAAUGAUUCCUCACACUUACGGAAGUUCCAGAUCCAGUGAAAUACUUUGUGACGCAUUGGAGCAGAGACCCCUGGUCUCAGAUGUCUUACAGCUUUGUGAAGACAGGAGGCAGCGGUGAGGCGUAUGACAUCAUUGCAGAGGAUGUUCAAGGAAAACUCUUCUUCGCUGGUGAGGCCACAAACAGACACUUUCCUCAGACUGUGACAGGGGCGUAUCUGAGCGGCGUCCGUGAGGCCAGCAAGAUCACUGCGAUGUAGAUCUCUAUCACCAUCACAGAACCAUCACACAAAAAUGAUGGUUCAAAGUACAUCUGGCAGCAACUGUUCUUCCAUUACUCUUUUGUUUCGAGAUCCUGUGAACUUUACCAGCUGAUUCAAGACUGAUGUCUGCUGAAUGUUAAAUUAUGAAUUCAAAGAAGUCGAAAAGUCAAAGAGAAUAAAAUCAUAAUUUCUUCUGUUAAUUGUCUCUUGGACUUCCCUGCAUAUGAACAAUGGAAAUAUUUUCCCUAACCCUUUGUCUUAUUUGACCCUCUCAAUGAAAAACUUUAAAAGUAUUAAAAGUUAUAAAGUGUUAAAAACUGUAACUUAUUCUUUCUUAUUUUGUCCUGUUUUGUGCACAAGCACAUUUAAAGCCACAGUAUAAGGAAACGCUUGUUCUAUUUUUUGGUGUCCAUGUGUGAAUUUGAUCAAUUAAACUGUUUUGAAACUGAUGCAGAACUUUAGACUGUUGUUAGUUGUUUGGAUCUAUUUAUCCGGUGAGCAUUACCGGUGUUUACUGAUGUCUCUCAUUACUGAUGUUGCUGCUUAUUCAUUCAUUUAUUGCACUGGAUGUAUACUUUUAAUAUUUAAUAUUAAAUUAAGGUAUUAAUGCUGGAA